rnacentral:lncRNA from 1 species
GAAGAGGAGAAGGAAAUUAAUUACUCAAGGUUCUCUGGAUAUUUUGUGUCAGAUCCAGGUCUUUUUCUUCGAUUUAAUUUUCUUUGGUUGCGAAGGUGCCGGGUAAGAUAAUUAGACCAAAUUCCUUUGAUAGAAUUUAGAAUUUGGGUUUUUUUGUGAAAGGACGAGUUUUAACCAGUGUGGGAAACAAAAAGAGUAAGAACUUGAGAAUAGCUUGGUUAAAGAAUUCUAAUGAAGAUUUCUCUUAGUUUCUGACAGUCUCGUGACUCUCUGAAAAGAUGUAUAGUCUGUGUAUAUUCUGUCUUGCGCAUGUGCUCUGAGACAUCUUCAAUGGAGUCAUUGUUGAGCAGUC